rnacentral:rRNA from 1 species
GAGACAGCAGCAGCCACGGUAAUACGUAGGGUGCGAGCGUUAAUCGGAAUUACUGGGCGUAAAGCGUGCGCAGGCGGUUGUGUAAGACAGGUGUGAAAUCCCCGGGCUUAACCUGGGAACUGCGCUUGUGACUGCACAGCUAGAGUAUGGCAGAGGAUGGUGGAAUUCCCGGUGUAGCGGUGAAAUGCGUAGAGAUCGGGAGGAACAUCAGUGGCGAAGGCGGCCAUCUGGGACAACACUGACGCUGAGGCACGAAAGCGUGGGGAGCAAACAGGAUUAGAUACCCCCGUAGUCCCUGUCUCUUAUAC